GGCCCAAUCGAAGAGCCAUUUUCUCUCUUCCCUCUUGUCAGUUCGAUGAGAUGUCGUGAAUUUGAGAGUAGAUUUUCUCUGGCAAUGGCGAUUUCUUCGUCGGUGUUCUGGUGCCUCGGCUGGGUUUGAAACCGAGAGGCGACGACGACGGCAGCUAACAAAAGCGACAACAGGCGACGACGGCGACGACAGGCAACGAUAGCGACGGCGGGCGACGACGGCAACGGCAGGCGAUCUCAGCCACCACACACGUACAUGAUUGGAGAUGCAAUGGAAAAGGAUAAGUGGCUUACCGCAAUUACAUUCCCAAUAGCACACCCGGAAACAGUGGGCGAUGGAUACCUCCAAGUCCACUAUCCAUGUUGUUUGAAGCGGAGAGCUGGAGUUCUGUAAGGGACAUGCAAAGUGGCAAACCAGCUUCAAGUCACAGAAACAGUUUUAGCUCAACUGCGAGUGAUAGCGAUCGCCCAUGAUUUCGAGGUGUUGAACCUCCAUACUCGUUCGUGGGAAUGCACUGUGUCUUUGAUCAAAGCCAGUCCUCUGUUACAGUGUUGAAGUUUGGUCACAUGAAUUCUGAUCUACCUGCAUAUGGAUCAUCGGAUGGAACAUUGGCAGUAUGCACUGUCUCUGACCCCCCUUCAGUUAUCAAGCAUUUGAAAGGCCAUUCAGAAGAUGUUACAGGUUGGAUUACCUGGUAUUGCUUCUUUUGUCUCAUCUGUGUCAAAGGAUAGUAUAUCUGUGAAUGCCUAUUGGCACCAAUAGCUUUUCAUUAUUAAGGGAAUUGUAUUUUUUUUUAAUUUUUGAUUUUUACACUGAUAAAUGAGGUUCAAAUGCAAAUUAGGCUUACACACCUGAAUAAAUGGAUCACACAUUUUACCUGGGUU